GCCUUCGUGGUGUAGUGGUCAGCACGCUCGACGCGUAACCGAGAGGUCCGUGGUUCGAUUCCCUGCGAAGGCG
rfam:Stegodyphus mimosarum contig23570, whole genome shotgun sequence.